rnacentral:rRNA from 1 species
UAAGAGUUUGAUCAUGGCUCAGGAUGAACGCUGGCGGCGUGCCUAACACAUGUAAGUCGAACGUGAGGCAUUAGUUAGCAAUAACUGGUGCUGAAAGUGGCGGACGGGUGAGUAACGCGUAGGUAACCUGCCUUGAAGUGGGGGAUAACCAUUGGAAACGGUGGCUAAUACCGCAUAGGGCUGUGAGAUGGGGACAUCUAAUGGCUAAAGCUACGGCGCUUUGAGAGGGGUCUGCGUUCGAUUAGCUAGUUGGUGAGGUAAAGGCUCACCAAGGCGAUGAUCGAUAGCUGGUCUGAGAGGAUGAUCAGCCACACGGGAACUGAGACACGGUCCCGACUCCUACGGGGGGCAGCAGUGAGGAAUAUUGCACAAUGGGGGCAACCCUGAUGCAGCAACGCCGCGUGGAGGAUGACGGUCUUUGGAUUGUAAACUCCUUUUCUCAGGGAAGAGUGAGGACGGUACCUGAGGAAUAAGUCACGGCUAACUACGUGCCAGCCGCCGCGGUAAUAC